ACCAAUUAAGUGUUAACGCACAUUGACUUUUCACGUCAAAAGAGCACAUUUGUGUAAUUGGCU
rnacentral:tRNA from 1 species